UACGGAGGGGGCUAGCGUUGUUCGGAAUUACUGGGCGUAAAGCGCGCGUAGGCGGACCUGCAAGUCGGGGGUGAAAGCCCGAGGCUCAACCUCGGAACUGCCUUCGAUACUGCGGGUCUCGAGUCCGGGAGAGGUGAGUGGAAUUCCUAGUGUAGAGGUGAAAUGCGUAGAUAUCUGGAGGAACACCGGUGGCGAAGGCGGCACCCUGGACCGGCAUUGACGCUGAGGCGCGAAAGCCAGGGGAGCAAACGGG
rnacentral:rRNA from 1 species